UUUCAAUCAGCUCCAACCUUCUCUAGCGAUUCUCUGAGACCUUAGGGAGAAAAACACAGGGCUGACUCUGACUAGCUGUGUGAUCCUGGUGUUUUGGAGGCCUUUGGGACAGACGGACUUUAGACUCCCCAGGAUAAAGUAGCCACUACACCUGAGACAUCGUUGAGAAGAGACCCAGAGCCUGAGUUCUCCAAGGAUAAACCCUGAGCAG